GUGUGUGUGUGUGUGUGUGUGUGUGUCACUUUUUUAGAUUUGAUUGGUCUUGGUUUAGGGUUUGGAUGUUCAGCAGAAGUGGGUUUGGGUUAGGGUUUGGAUGUUCAGCAGAAGUGGGUUUGGGUUAGGGUUUGGAUGUUCAGCAGAAGUGGGUUUGGGUUAGGGUUUGGAUGUUCAGCAGAAGUGGGUUUGGGUUAGGGUUUGGAUGUUCAGCAGAAGUGGGUUAGGGUUGGGGUUUGGAUGUUCAGCAGAAGUGGGUUAGGGUUUGGGUUAGGGCCUUUGGAUGUUCAGCAGAAGUGGGUUUGGGUUAGGGUUUGGAUGUUCAGCAGAAGUGGGUUGGGUUUGGAUGUUCAGCAGAAGUGGGUUAGGGUUGGGUUUGGAUGUUCAGCAGAAGUGGGUUUGGGUUAGGGCCUUUGGAUGUUCAGCAGAAGUGGGUUAGGGU